CUGAGAGGGUGACCGGCCACAUUGGGACUGAGACACGGCCCAAACUCUUACGGGAGGCAGCAGUGGGGAAUAUUGCACAAUGGGGGAAACCCUGAUGCAGCGACGCCGCGUGAGCGAUGAAGUAUUUCGGUAUGUAAAGCUCUAUCAGCAGGAAGAAAAUGACGUACCGACUAAGAAGCACCGGCUAAAUACGUGCCAGCA
rnacentral:rRNA from 1 species